ACGGCCCCGCCCCCCGACGGCCAUUUGUGUAGCCGCGCUGGAGCCGCCGCUGCUCUCACUUGGCCCGUGGCCGCCGCGGUGAGGAGCCGGCUGGGUUGGGGCCGGCAGCGCGGAUCUGCUCCCCGCCCUGCGGAGCUCUGGGCGCUGCUACUGCCGCCGCGACCCCGCCCGAGGAGCCGGAGGACCAGGAGCGGGGCCUGCGGUUUCCAGCCCGGCCGGAGACGGCGGCGCAGGGAGGGACCCGGACCCGGACCCGGCGGCGCUGCUCGGCUCGGCUCCCCGAUGGCCGCGGGCUGCAGGGACGGGCCGGGGCAGGAGAAGUAUCGGCUGGUGGUGGUGGGCGGCGGCGGCGUGGGCAAGUCGGCGCUCACCAUCCAGUUCAUCCAGUCCUACUUUGUCACGGAUUAUGAUCCGACAAUUGAAGACUCUUACACCAAACAGUGUGUGAUAGAUGAGAAAGCAGCACGGUUGGACAUUCUGGAUACAGCAGGACAAGAAGAAUUUGGAGCUAUGCGAGAACAGUAUAUGAGGACUGGGGAGGGCUUUCUCCUUGUCUUCUCAGUCACUGAUAGAGGAAGUUUUGAAGAAAUCUACAAGUUUCAAAGGCAGAUACUUAGAGUGAAAGACCGUGAUGAAUUUCCUAUGAUUCUAGUUGGUAACAAAGCAGAUCUGGAUCAUCAAAGACAGGUAACACAAGAGGAAGGCCAGCAACUAGCACGACAGCUUAAAGUAACUUAUAUGGAAGCCUCAGCAAAAAUACGAUUGAAUGUAGACCAAGCCUUUCAUGAACUUGUCAGAGUUAUAAGGUGAAUCCCAUAGUGCUAGCACCUCUUUAACACAGCAAGAAGUUCAAAAAGACACUCCCUAGAAACUUGAAAAUUUCAAGAACAAGAGUGCCCUCCUUCACCAGAACCAACACGGAAAGAAAAAGACAAGAAAGGCUGUCAUUGUGUCAUUUUCUAAGAAUCUCAUGAAUCAAGCUAUCAACUGCCAGAUUAAUUUUUCUUUCCACCAUUUUGCAUCACAUUGGGUAUGUCUAGCCUUUUGUGCCAUGUCCUAUAAAUGGCCACCAAAAUAGCCUUAGUCCAAGAAGCUGGCUGAAUACAGUCCUAGAAGACAACUAGUCAUCUUAGGGCAGACUUCAAAGCAAAACACUAAGGCUGCUUCUUUAAAAUCACAGUUCCUAUUUUUGCUCCCUUUAAGAGCUUGCACCUUGUGGAAUUUUAUUCAUAAAGGAGAUGGAAACAAAACCUAAGAGGACAAGGUGUUCAAGUAAAGCAUAAAAGUUGUCUUAUGUUAAUUAAUUUAUUUUUCACUUCUGACAUUUCAUUAGCUACUAUCAAGGAGACCUCUAAUCAAAGUGUAAAGUGUAUUUAAUAAAGUGUAUUGGCUUUUUGCCCUUCAGUUAAAUUAGAGUUCAGCUAGCCUUAAGAAACCAACACUGAAUUUCUUUGUCAGCAAAAAUGUUUCAGCUCUUGUUUAUGCUUCAGCUUUUUUUCCAGUGGCCAAAAGUCUACUUACUGUAUUUAUUUUAUGGAUCCAGAAUAGCUACAGGAUUAUUACUACUAUUAUAAUGUGGCCAAAUACCUGGGCUCAUUCUGGUCUAGCCAUUUCAGUUUAUUAGAAAAAUUUCACAUUAUUGUUGGGGGGGGGGAAAUUCAUGUGUCUUCCUUUGAUGUAUUUCUGGGUAAGGGAUUAAAGAAAACUAAAAUUGUAGCUGUUUUUAUUUCAUGUAAUAUAAAAAGAUGGAUUUGAUCUUUCCAAUGUCAGAGAUGAUUAAAUGUUUUUGCUAUAUACUUUUAUACAUUAUUUUCUUAUCAAACUAGUUAACAAGUAUUUUUAUAUGUUUGUAAGCAAAUAUGCUUUCACAGCAUAACUUGUGUAUAUGUAAAGAUGAAUAUUUAAUUCACGGUUCACGUUUAACUGACAAAAUAAUGCGGGAUAGGCUGAACUGUGGUAGAACUUCUCCUUGCUGGGUACAACCAGAACAGUAAUGGCCAAUCAUGUGCCGGCCCAACUUACCUAUAAAAAGUAAAGUUUGGCAUGCUUUCAAGUAAAGUUUAGUAUCCCUUAUGAAAGACUGACCAUUAUGUGAACUAUAUUAAACUGUAAGACUUUUAAAUGACUGUUUAGUUUAACUGUGGAUGGUUUAUGAAUUUUGAGUUCUGUGGAUUGUGUUUAAACAAUUCAAGAGUAUGUUCCCUGACUCUGAAAUACUAAGUGGUAUUGCACAGUUGUCACCUUAUUGAAUGUGUCCAACAGUUCUAUGGAGUUUGGUUAUUAAGCAUACCUUUGUAUAACUUGAGGUGCUAGAAUUAAAGAUGAUCUAACCAUUAUCAAGAGGUAAGCACAUUGCACCUUUGUUUGUCUUUUAAAAAACUGAAUCUCUCCUUGGGAGAAAGGGUUAAUAAUAGCUGGAAGGGGGAUAGGACAAUACAGGCAAACUUUUACAUACUUUCAGCCUGACAAGAGCUUGAAAUUUGGCCUACAGUGAUAUAAUCUGAAUGGACUUAAAAGCAUCUAAGUAGAAAUGGCUUCCUGAUUCAACCGAUGCUGUGACCAGCGGCUGACACCAGAGGACUACAGAAUGAUAGUUCACAAAAUAGACCAUUCAAAAUAAACUUCUUGUACUUGGCUAUGUUUUGGCAUAUGCUAAUUGUUGAUUGCUCUGCCAAUAAAAAAAAUUCUAUAA